UACACACCGCCCGUCACACCAUGGGAUUUGGUUUGACCUUAAGCAGGUGCGCUAACCCGCAAGGGAGGCAGCCUACCACGGUCGGGUCAGAGACUGGGGUG
rnacentral:rRNA from 1 species